CGUAGCGACUCCUACGGGAGGCAGCAGUGGGGAAUAUUGCACAAUGGGCGCAAGCCUGAUGCAGCCAUGCCGCGUGUAUGAAGAAGGCCUUCGGGUUGUAAAGUACUUUCAGCAGUGAGGAAGGUGGGUAUGUUAAUAGCAUACUCAUUUGACGUUAGCUGCAGAAGAAGCACCGGCUAACUCCGUGCCAGCAGCCGCGGUAAUACGGAGGGUGCGAGCGUUAAUCGGAAUUACUGGGACGUAAAGCGCAUGCAGGUGGUUUGUUAAGUCAGAUGUGAAAGCCCGGGGCUCAACCUCGGAAUUGCAUUUAGAAACUGGACAAACUAGAGUACUGUAGAGGGGGUAGAAUUUCAGGUGUAGCGGUGAAAAUGCGUAGAGAUCUGAAGGAAUACCGGUGGCGAAGGCGGCCCCCUGGACAGAUACUGACACUCAGAUGCGAAAGCGUGGGGAGCAAACAGGAUUAGAUACCCUGGUAG
rnacentral:rRNA from 1 species